GCUGCUGCUACAAAGUUGAUGAAGAAAUAAGGUGGUUUUGAAUUAACAACUGGUUUUGACUACACAGCAAAAUCUUAAAGAUGAUCAUUUGUCUGCUUAUUCCCACAGUGCGACAUCGGUUAAACCUCAGAGCGGGAAAACUAAGAUUCCUCUCCACAAACUGGGUUCUCCGGGGCCAUCUUCUCUGAAGUGAUGCGAACCAUCCUAGGGAGGGAGUAAUGCCUGGGAUGCAUAAGCGUAGGAGCCGAAAUCGUGCCUAGGCCUUACAUAAGCUUGUAAUUCAUCUUCAGAUAGGUUCAACAUGUAAAGUUUACGUGCAAUCAUGAACAUCUGUGUUCAGUCAUGUAGAUGAUACCACUGAGGAAUAAUUCAAAGAGUGCACACAGAACAGAACUGCCUGAUUACGUUUUGCUGUAGAUGCCAAGAGCACCCGGCUGCGUUACCGUAUAUGGACACUGGUUUCAUUUUUACUAAAUCGCCUGUGAUAAAGAAACAUGAGCAUUGAUGCAAUGACCUUUUACAAAAAAACUGCUGCCAAUGGAUGUGGUAAUGAAGAAUACAUAAAUGCCUCACACCUGAAGCAGGAAACUGUUUCCAUAAUAUAUUCACAGAAAUCAACUCUGCAAACUCCUACUGGUGUAAAGGUGUUAACCCCUGGUAAUGAAAAUAACGCACACCCCCAGGAAAAAGUUAUUUUCUCAGUUAACCUCAUUUUCAUCACAAGAUGAGUUUCUGCUGCUCAACAUAAAACAGUUUGGCAUUCAACUUGUGAGAAAGGUCAACUGAACAAUUUGUAUUCAAAGACUGUUGGUGCCAUGACGUUUUCCAUAAUGAACUCCAGAAAAACAAAGGCUGCUCUCUGACAGUCCUGAGGUAACGGAAAGACCUGGUAAUAUUUCUGAAGGGACUGAUCAUGUUUAGCUCAGAAAAAAAGUGAAUAAACCCAAAUCUGGAAUAAUUUUUUUGAAGAUGAUUGCUGUUAUGAUCAUUAUUACACCUACUGUUUACUCUGUUGUAACAGGCAGAGACCCACUCAAGAUUAGUGCCUCAUCAUGCUGAAUGUUACGUGAGCACAGGGCAAGACCAAACACCAUCAGUAAGAAACAUGGUCUUGCUCAGUUCUUCCCAAGAAGGAUCUCUCUGAGCCCUCAGUGUACAGGAUAUGAGCUCUAAGUAACGCUCUGUUAAUGCUCAACUCACAUGAAUCAGACGGAAUAACGAGAGAUACUGAUGCAGGAUGCUCCUUCCAUCUCCGGGUACAUCAGCUUUAGGGUUGCUCUGUGCCAGCAGCGCUUACACGGGGCUUUAUAAUCCUCAGUGACUCUAGAGGAAGAUAAAAGAGCGUAUUCCUUCAAAUUCAGUGGGACCGUCUAUGCAAGAAUUAUUUGAAUGGGAAUUCUGGAUAAUUACUGCAAAUUGUCAAAUUUCACUUUGAACCCGUCUAAAUUACUGACUUCAAAACCAUACUGCUGCAGUAGAAGAGAAGCUUGACUCAUCAUGG